CCUACGGGUGGCAGCAGUAGGGAAUCUUCGGCAAUGGACGAAAGUCUGACCGAGCAACGCCGCGUGAGUGAAGAAGGUUUUCGGAUCGUAAAACUCUGUUGGUAGAGAAGAACGUUGGUGAGAGUGGAAAGCUCAUCAAGUGCCGGUAACUAACCAGAAAGGGACGGCUACCUACGUGCAAGCAGCCGCGGUAAUACGAAGGUCCCGAGCGUUGUCCGGAUUUACGGGGCGUAAGGCGGGCGAGGGGGGUUUAUUAGGGCGGUUGUAAAAGGCAGUGGCUCAACCAUUGUAUGCAUUGGAAACUGGGAGACUUGAGUGCAGGAGAGGAGAGUGGAAUUCCAUGUGUAGCGGUGAAAUGCGUAGAUAUAUGGAGGAACACCGGAGGCGAAGGCGGCUCUCUGGCCUGUAACUGACACUGAGGCUCGAAAGCGUGGGGAGCAAACAGGAUUAGAUACCCGAGUAGUC
rnacentral:rRNA from 1 species